rnacentral:rRNA from 1 species
AGCAGCCGCGGUAAUUCCAGCUCCAAUAGCGUAUAUUAAAGUUGUUGCAGUUAAAAAGCUCGUAGUUGAAUUUCGGGGUUAGUAGGCUGGUCGUGCCAAUGGUAUGUACUGGCUUUACUGAUUCCUCCUUCUUGAAGAACUGUAAUGCCAUUAGUUUGGUGUUGCAGGGAAUCAGGACUGUUACUUUGAAAAAUUAGAGUGUUUAAAGCAGGCUUACGCUUGAAUACAUUAGCAUGGAAUAAUGAAAUAGGACGUUGAUUCUAUUUUGUUGGUUUCUAGGAUUGACGUAAUGAUUAAUAGGGAUAGUUGGGGGCAUUAGUAUUCAAUUGUCAGAGGUGAAAUUCUUGGAUUUAUUGAAGACUAACUACUGCGAAAGCAUUUGCCAAGGAUGUUUUCAUUAAUCAAGAACGAAAGUUAGGGGAUCGAAGACGAUCAGAUACCGUCGUAGUC